rnacentral:rRNA from 1 species
AGCUCCAAUAGCGUAUAUUAAAGUUGUUGUGGUUAAAAAGCUCGUAGUUGGAUCUCAGUUCGAGUCAGACGGUCCACUUGCCAGUGGUUACUGUUUGGACUGAACACUUUAUCGAGUUGUCCUAUGGUGCUCUUCACCGAGUGUCAUAGGCGAUCGAUACGUUUACUUUGAAAAAAUUAGAGUGCUCAAAGCAGGCUACACAAGCCCGAAUAAUGUUGCAUGGAAUAAUGGAAUAGGACCUCGGUUCUAUUUUGUUGGUCUUCGGAAUCUGAGGUAAUGAUUAAGAGGGACAGACGGGGGCAUUCGUAUUGCGACGCUAGAGGUGAAAUUCUUGGACCGUUGCAAGACGAACAAAAGCGAAGGCAUUUGCCAAGAAUGUUUUCA